GGCCGCAUCACGUUGAAACACUAGUUCCCGUACAAUCACCGUAGCUAAGCAACGUCAAGCCUGGUCACUACCUAGAUGGGUGACCGCUUGGGGAUACCAGGUGCU
rnacentral:rRNA from 1 species